UACGAAGGGGGGCUAGCGUUGCUCGGAAUCACUGGGCGUAAAGCGCACGUAGGCGGCUUUUUAAGUCAGGGGGUGAAAUCCUGGAGCUCAACUCCAGAACUGCCUUUGAUACUGAAGAUCUUGAGUUCGGGAGAGGUGAGUGGAACUGCGAGUGUAGAGGUGAAAUUCGUAGAUAUUCGCAAGAACACCAGUGGCGAAGGCGGCUCACUGGCCCGACACUGACGCUGAGGCACGGAAAGCGUGGGGAGCAAACAGG
rnacentral:rRNA from 1 species